UUUGAACAGCGCCACCUGUUGACUCCUAAUUGGAGAUUUAUAUGCAGCGCAAAAACAAUUAGGCCCUAGCUACAAGUACAAGUAAGUGAUUUAUUUUGUAAUCUUACCUUUCUGCAUUUACCAUUCAAAGUCUCUCUGGUCUGUUUUUCAGGUUGAUUUCUUGCCUGAUUUGGCAGGAACCUCUACCCUUUCGAAGUACCUAGUAGAAUUGUGCAUUUUGCUGCUAGCACCAGUGAGGUAGCCUACUGCAGUUACAACCCUGUUGACGGGAGAGUCUCCAACCAUACUAAUCCAACAGGCAAAAGAAAUGGUUCAUGUCAACUAUUUGGAGACUGUUCCUUUCGCAAUGGCCAGUACAAACAAGGUGCUACAAAACUAGAUUUGCAAUCAAAGGUUUACUAAUGAGAUCUUCGGCUAUUUGUAUGGAGCAGGGAAUAGAUGUUUGUAUUGACAGAUGACACAAAUUAUGAUUUUGGUUUGAAGAAAAAGAAAUUAGCUUAUUUUUAAGUUGCGGUUUCCAAAUGUCAUAACUGAGCGAAAAAGUGCCAUGAUCGUUGCGUUGCAUUCUGUGCAUUAGAUAGACUACAUGUAUUGCUGUACACCAAAUAUUUAAUAGUGCGCCUCCAACAGUUUGCAAUGCAUAAGCCAAUCACGAUUCACGAAAUCUGUUGACCCAGUGUGCGUAUGAAGAGGAUCGACAGAUAUCACUUGUCGUGGUUGAUCAACGCAUUGCAAACUCUUGGAGGUGCACUAUUGUGAAUUGUCUGUAUUGGAGUUGUAAUUCCAAACUAUCUGUGUCAUAUUGUUAAAUAUUACAUAAAUAUAUCACACUGACUUCCCUUCAAUUCAGCAGUGUGAGCAGGAAUAUAUCGAAUUGUACUUUUUUAAUCCUCAAGGAAAGUGGACAAAAUUUAAUUAAAGCUUGUCUUGUUUACUGCUCCCCAUUUUUUCUAGAACUUUAAAAUCUUGUGCUUAACUUUGGUCUUCAAAGUGACUGAAUUUUCUGUUCCAAAUAAGCAGUUAUUGUAAUAAUGUAAGGUGAGAACUAGAACAAGUGUCUGGUCUGUAACAAACUUCCUCAGACAUGUCUCUGAUUGAAAAAGAGGACAUGAAAAUUGGAUUCCUGAAGUAUCUUCAACUUAUGUAUUUUUUACUAGUAGAAUUAAUUUUUGUGGCAGUUUCAUGAUAAAAUAAUGAAUACAUGUAUUUGGAAGAAUUUAGUAUAAAAAGGUUUGCAUACAUGUAAACAGGAUUUAAUGUUAAAUUUAACUGAGUAUGCAGUGCUAAAAGUGUUAUACCCAUAGGCUUCAUUUUCCUAAAACAAUUUUUGAUGAUUAUUUUUAGAAAAAAAAUAAAUGUUACCUUUGGUUCGGAA